rnacentral:rRNA from 1 species
CCUACGUGAGGCAGCAGUGAGGAAUAUUGGUCAAUGGACGAGAGUCUGAACCAGCCAAGUAGCGUGAAGGAUGACUGCCCUAUGGGUUGUAAACUUCUUUUAUAAGGGAAUAAAGUGUGCCACGUGUGGGAUUUUGUAUGUACUAUAUGAAUAAGGAUCGGCUAACUCCGUGCCAGCAGCCGCGGUAAUACGGAGGAUCCGAGCGUUAUCCGGAUUUAUUGGGUUUAAAGGGAGCGUAGGUGGGUUGUUAAGUCAGUUGUGAAAGUUUGCGGCUCAACCGUAAAAUUGCAGUUGAAACUGGCAGUCUUGAGUACAGUAGAGGUUGGCGGAAUUCGUGGUGUAGCGGUGAAAUGCUUAGAUAUCACGAAGAACUCCGAUUGCGAAGGCAGCUCACUGGACUGCAACUGACACUGAGGCUCGAAAGUGUGGGUAUCAAACAGGAUUAGAUACCCCUGUAGUC